AGCAGGGUAGAGCAGAAGUAGCUCGCUUGGCUCAUAACCAAGAGGUCGCGUGGCGCAAUUCCCGCCCCUGCUACCA
rnacentral:tRNA from 1 species